GAGGUUGUAAAUUGCAGAAAUGAAACUCGGCUCUCGCUAGAACCAAAAAUCAAGUGUCGAUAUAGAAGGAUCAGAUUAGAGACAAUGUGACCCAAUUUAUUCACAAUUACAAGACUAGGGUUACUAACAUUCAGUCGUUCUGAAGAUCGUGAAACACUGGCAUGUCAUGUAAACUGAUCAUUUUCAUUUUAGAUGAAUUGCAUCUCUGGAAGAAAUGGGAAGUUUAAAGCAAUGGUGUGCAUAAAGCUAUAUGAUGGUCUGGUAAGCAAUUCCUUUAUUAAACAUUUCCAUAUAUUACAUGACUUUUUUUUUGUGUUAAUUUAAAAAAAAAUGUACAACACUUGCUAAAAUGUACAAAUUUUUCGUUUGACCAUUUUGAAGAAAUAAAAUUAUUGUUUGAACUAUUUUGACUACAUCUGUAGGGCUACUGAUUUUCAGCAAUCGGAAUCACAAAAUUUUGCAGUGUUGUCUUUCUCCUCGCAACUCCAGUUUUCUGCAGGGUUUAUUUUUGCACUACACCCAGCCAAGUUGAGUUAAUUCGUCAUGUGACUUCACUUGCGUGUCUCUGCUGAAACUCAACAUGGCGGCUGCACCAACGAAGAAAAAAAAUGCAAAAGACAGCGAAAACAUUUUCUGAUUAUCUAUAUGAGGAUGUUGGUUACUAUUUUGCAAAUGUUGUUGUCAUUCGAUUGAUCAUGUACGAGUCAAUACCAUUAAAGGUCAUUGCCAGCCGUAAACACAUAUAGAACAAGAAAGCUAAAAACAUGGCAACAAAAAAUGACAAAGCACUGCAUUCUUAUAUGCUGAAAAACUUGGACCCGAGGUACUGCGCUCAAGGCAGGGUUUUACCCUAGUAAGUAAGCUAAAUUGAUUGCAUGUUUUAGUUUCUUUACACUCUACCUGCAUUUAAUAAAGCUAUAAUUAGUCUUGUUAAGCCAUGUCUGUUUCUUAAUUAAAUUAUAUUAUCUGCUGAUGAAGACAAGCUCAAAGCUAUUUUUCUAGCUAUGCAUUCCUUAAAGGAAAUUGAUCACUUUACUGUAUAAAGGAUGUAGUCACUACACUACAGAGUUUGUUUCAUAAAGACAUUCUGUCCUGAGACACACCUAGUUACAUGUUGCAAAUAACAAGACAGAAUUAGCAAAUAAACAAUUAAUUAUGCAUUUACAUUAAAAGGGGCUCUAUUUAAAUUACAAUCUGGUGAUACUCAGCCGUGAAUCUGUGUAGCAACACAUCAGUCAACGCGCCUUUUGUAUCAGUGUUUCAUGUUUUAACCUGGUUGUAUUGUAAUGCUAGUAAAACGCUUAACUUUUGUGGAGUACUGUAAAUGGGAUUACUCUCACAUGACAUUGUUGGACUUACUGAACUGUAAUAUUUUAUUGUUGUAAUACCAGCAAUAGGUUUCUUUUCAGAACACUUAUUUAUAGACUGAACUACAGUGUUAGUGGAAGACUGUAAAUAUGAUUCUCACAACAGUGCUGGACCUUUGUUUUCUGAACUGUUGUAAUGCAAUUAAUUUUUUUAACUGCCAAGUGAGGUUUAUAAAUAUUAUGACAUUUAAGGUACUUUACUUAUUAUUACAUCAACAAG